UUUUAAAUAAUUUCUGCUCAAUGAAAUAAUUUAAAUAGCCGCAGUAAAUUAACUGUGCUAAGGUAGCAUAAUAAUUAGUUUUUUAAUUAAAAACUAGAAUGAAAGAAAAAAUGAAAAAUUAACUUUUUAAUUAUAAUAAAUAAAUAUAAAUUAAUUAGUAAGUUAAAAAUCUUAUAUAAAAUAAAAAGACAAGAAGACCCUUUAGAAUUUUAUAAAUAAAAAAAUUUAAAUAAAUAUAAAUUUUGAUGAUUAUUAAAUUGGGGAGAUUAUGAAAUCUAUAAAACUUUCACUUUUUAAAAACAAAAAUAAAUGAAUUAAAAAAAAAUAUCCAGUUAAUAGCCGAAUAAAAACCAAAUUACCUAAGGGAUAACAGCGUAAAAUUUCUAAAAAGAUCAAAUUUACAGAAUAAAUUACGACCUCGAUGUUGGAUUAAGAA
rnacentral:rRNA from 1 species